rnacentral:rRNA from 1 species
UUUAUUUGAUAGUGCAAAUUACAUGGAUAACCGUGGUAAUUCUAGAGCUAAUACAUGCGCAAAUACCGGACGCAAGAAUGGUAGCAUUUAUUAGAUUUAACCAUCACAUGGUGAAUCAUAGUAACUUAGCUGACCGCGUGUAUACGUGGUAAAUCAUUCAAGUUUCUGCCCUAUCAGCUUUCGAUGGUAGUGUAUUGGACUACCAUGGCAGUCACGGGUAACGGAGAAUUAGGGUUCGAUUCCGGAGAGGGAGCCUGAGAAACGGCUACCACAUCUAAGGAAGGCAGCAGGCGCGUAAAUUACCCAAUCCCGAUUCGGGGAGGUAGUGACAAGAAAUAGCAACUCGUGCGGGUUUCCGUUACGGGAUUGCAAUGAGAUAAGUCCAAAUCCGUAAACGAUUAACAAUUGGAGGGCAAGUCUGGUGCCAGCAGCCGCGGUAAUUCCAGCUCCAAUAGCGUAUACUUAAGUUGUUGCAGUUAAAAAGCUCGUAGUUGAAAUUCGAGUCAGUUACUAGUUGGCUCUUCGUCAGUUAGUUAAUUGAUUCUCCGUCUACAAUCCCUUUUGCGCUUUAGGGUUGCAGCUGGGCGAGUAGACAAUUUACCUUGAAAAAAUUAGAGUGUUCCAGGCAGGUCUUCGCCGGAAUACAUUAGCAUGGAAUAAUGGAAUAGGACUUGGGUCUUUUGUUGGUUUUAGGACUUGAGUAAUGAUUAAUAGGGACAGAUGGGGGCAUUAGUAUUUAAUUGUCAGAGGUGAAAUUCUUGGAUUUAUUAAAGACUAACUUAUGCGAAAGCAUUUGCCAAGGAUGUUUUCAUUAAUCAAGAACGAAAGUUAGGGGAUCAAAGACGAUCAGAUACCGUCGUAGUCUUAACUAUAAACUAUACCGACUCGAGAUCGGAAGGGUAAUAUAUUAGUCCCUUUCGGCAUCGUAAGAGAAAUCAAAGUCUUUGGGUUCUGGGGGGAGUAUGGUCGCAAGGCUGAAACUUAAAGGAAUUGACGGAAGG